CCUGUCCUGAGCCCUCAGCCACUGUUCCUCCCCGAGGUGAAUGAUGAAGGAAGUUACCCUGGUCCUCUUGCAUUCAUCUGCAGAGACUGGCCAUGCUCCAGAUGGGGAUUCUCCGGGCAGCCUGGGUCCCAGAGUGAAGCUGUACAGAGCUGAGCCCCCAGCUGACCUGCAAUGAACACCCAGUGUGAAACAUCACAGCGCCUGCCUUUGUUGCCAUCACCUUAAUUAAGACUCAAGCUCUUCCCUGGGCUCUCUCGGUUUAGGAUCUCCCCUCUCUGGCUCCAGUGUCUUCAGCAGUAACUCAUCAACACAGUACAGUCACAUCACAGGCCCAUCACCUGAGAAGCACCACCACGUCUACUCCAGGAAUGAAGAUCUUUCAGCUGCUGAGCGGUGUGGAUGGAUAAAGAGCCUGGCUGACUGGUUUCAGAGACAAUCCAGAUUUGGCAAGAACCUCUGCUUCACAGUUUCAUCUUAAGGAGAGGUCUUCUCUGCUAAAGUCGAAUGGAAAAUGAAAUUACCUGCUAA